rnacentral:rRNA from 1 species
GACGAACGCUGGCGGCGUGCUUAACACAUGCCAGUCGAACGCUGAAGCUCAGCUUUUGUUGGGUGGAUGAGUGGCGAACGGGUGAGUAACACGUGAGUAACCUGCCUCCUUCUUUGGGAUAACGCCCGGAAACGGGUGCUAAUACUGGAUAUUCACUGGUCUUCGCAUGGGGGUUGGUGGAAAGGGUUUUUCUGGUGGGGGAUGGGCUCGCGGCCUAUCAGCUUGUUGGUGGGGUGAUGGCCUACCAAGGCUUUGACGGGUAGCCGGCCUGAGAGGGUGACCGGUCACAUUGGGACUGAGAUACGGCCCAGACUACUACGGGAGGCAGCAGUGGGGAAUAUUGCACAAUGGGCGCAAGCCUGAUGCAGCGACACCGCGUGAGGGAUGGAGGCCUUCGGGUUGUGAACCUCUUUCGCUCAUGGUCAAGCCGCAACAAUGGUUGUGGUGAGGGUAGUGGGUAAAGAAGCGCCGGCUAACUACGUG